GAUCCUUUAGUAUAAUUCAGUAUGUUUGACUUCCAAUCAAAGGGUUUUGAGGAUUA
rnacentral:tRNA from 1 species